AGGACGAACGCUGGCGGCGUGCUUAACACAUGCAAGUCGAGCGGUAAGGCUCCUUCGGGAGUACACGAGCGGCGAACGGGUGAGUAACACGUGAGCAAUCUGCCCUUCUCAUCGGAAUAAGCGUUGGAAACGACGUCUAAUGCCGAAUACGACCUCCUUUCGCAUGAUCGGAGGUGGAAAGCUCCGGCGGAGAAGGAUGAGCUCGCGGCCUAUCAGCUAGUUGGUGUGGGUAAUGGCCCACCAAGGCGACGACGGGUAGCCGGCCUGAGAGGGUGACCGGCCACACUGGGACUGAGACACGGCCCAGACUCCGUACGGGAGGCAGCAGUGGGGAAUAGUUGGACAAGUGGGCGAAAGCCUGAUCCAGCAACGCCGCGUGGAGGGAUGACCGGCCGUUACGGGUUAGUAACCUC
rnacentral:rRNA from 1 species